GUGCUGUAAGGGGAACCAUAAAGUAGUCCACACCUUCACAGUUUUUUAAGUGAAAGAUAACAGAUUACACUUCAAAGUAGUAGAAAUUUAAAUGUGGAUUCUGGUUUUUAAUGGUUUUUUGUUUGGUUUUUUUUUAAUUACUUAUCCAGUUAUUUAAUUUUUCCCUUCAGCCAUGAAGCCUCCACAUCUUUAAGAACCUGAGAAAGAGCAUCUUUAAGCUAGACAGACGUUAGCCUUGAAACUGAGGUGACAAAAAGGUGUUCCAUGCUCCUUCACAUCCUUUUUCAGUCAGAAACCAAUAGACUACCAAUACUGUACAUGCAUACAUGAACAGGAAGUUUAUGCAUGUGUUUGCAUGCAUACUUUUGUACACACAGAAUUUCAAAUAACUUUACAAAGUUGUUGCCAACAAAAGGAAAUGCGGCUUUAUGCUUCAUAGUGCAGUCUAGAAGCAACCUGAAUGUGUCUUAUAAAGAAGUACGUCAUAAUGCUGAAAGAUUCAUGUCAUACAAAAAAAAAAUAUUCAUAGGAGACUUAACUGUUCAACAGAUGUCACUAAUCUUUUAUUAGUUAGAAGCACUAGAACUUUUUCUUGUGAUGUUUCUAAAAUCAGCCAGAACCAGUUGUAUUUGGUGUUUUGUACAGAACAAUUAUAAACAUCUCAGCCUACUUUUUUCAUUGGCAAGUUAUAUAACACACAAGUUAUUUAAUUCAGAUCUAGGGGUAUUUAAUUUUUUUCUAUUGUUUAGCUGCAACUAUGAAUUAUGCCCAAUUUUUCUCAAUUUUUUCCCAGAAGUAAGUAGUAAAUGAAAUGCUGCCGUAAGUAUUAAUAUUGUGCAUCUGCUCAUACUGGGUUGUGUUCCCACAAAGGCUGUGUGUGGAUGUUAAUCAAGCAUGUGCUUCAAUACUGCAGUAAGUGCUUAUAGGUGAUCCUGAUUUUGUAUGCGUUAUGUGCCAGGAUUCUGCUAGUGAUAGUAGCAGCAAUUUAAUCUUUUGUCAGUGGGAUUAUGAUUGCCUCCCUCUCUCCUUCCAGGUAGAAGGAGUGAUAGGAGUUGCUGCUGCUGUUGAACAAUUAUGAAACCACCAAAGUGAGAAUAUUCUCUUCUUUGCUGGCGUUGGAGUGCAGUCCAUUUACUAAAACUUACGGAGAAAGAUUUUGGUUUAGAACCAGGGGCUAAGCUCAAGAGUUGAAUAACCCACGACAGGGACUUUAAUAAACUUAAGCAGGAUUAUUAAACAGGCAUGUGAAAGACUUUUUAGGACACUGGAAUAAUCUUAGAGGAAAACUAGUAGUGCCUUGGCACAUGAGACUGCACAGCAGGAGAAUGGCUGUAAAAUGCCACUUUAUACUUUCUUGAAGCCAUUGCAGUUUUCUUGCAGGCGAGCGUGAGGAGUUUAAUGUAUAGUCUUCUACCCUUCUGCAGUUCGCUGUCAGGAUUUUAAGCCCUUCUCUUUACAAUCCCUUUUAACUUCACUGUACUUUGUCGACCUCUUUAAAAUCCUUCACUGAAUUUGUAGCAAUGUUUUCUGUGAAACGACUUAGGAGGGAAGGAAUUUAGCAGAGGAAAAACUUAGGUUUGUAAGUCUAAUCACUACUGUUGUCAGUGCACAGCUGUUGGGGCCUAGCUGCUGAGAGAAAAAGGCAGGGCCUUUUGUCCUGAGGUUGAUUGGCUCAGCAGGAUCUCCUUUACAUCAUCGUGGAUUUUUUUUAAUUUCGUGAAUUCCUUCAUUCCAGAGCUCCUACCUGAAAAUUUCCAAGCAAAGGUUCAAAGAGAGAACAUUCAAGAAGCACACAGUUUUGCAGGAGGCUUCAAAAAUGAAUUAAAUUCAUGUGGUGUGCAUUUCGUCAGCUAGUAACUGAGUAGUUUCUCAGAUCAGCAGGUAUAUCAGCAGGAUGAUAACUAUAAAAACUGUAUCAUCUGUAUGUGAGGUCCUGUGAUCGUCAUGAGGGCUCUGCCCCAAGAGCAAAAUAUCAAGUUCUUUUUUUCCCAGCAGUUACAGGCAGGACAAAGGUUGGACCAGCAUCAGAGAUAAAAUAAAGAGAGGCAAAAAGAGUUACUUGAAUUUGGCAUUCUGCAGUAAGCGAUACACAAGAAGGUAAAGAACAUACAUGAUUUUUUUUCUUGUAUGUAGAGAAUCUUGUUAGAUACAGAUGUGAGAGCUGUUUCCAAUCUCUCAUAAUGGUGGAAUUUGUACUUUCAAUAUUGGUAUUUUAAAGGUACUUGUGAAGUGAGUGGGUGGAGACUGUAAGUCAGGAGUGAGCUGCUGUGAAAAUGCCAACUUUCCUAAACACUGAAGGUAUUAAUAUGAGGCAUUCCAGAAGAUAUACGCAUGAGAUAUUUGUGGCUUGUCUCUUAGGUGACUUCAGAAGUCUGCAUCUCCCUACCGUGCCAGUUGUCCUACAUCUGAAAUUUCACAGUAUUUAGAUUUUCAAGUCCAAACGCAAUGAAUUGCAUCUAAAUACUUGAGCUUGUUGUUCAAGAUCACGCACAAAUUAUGUAGUCAAGAUGGGGGAAGAGCCAAAUAUUUUGUCUCACUGUCCUGUACACUAACCUUUCACUGUACUUAGUACUUCUAUUAAUAAUUAUCAAAUGUUCAUCUGUAUUAAAGCAGGUAUUUCCUCACAUUGAAUUCUACCUGGUGAUCUUUUAGGGAGAUAAUAUUUUGUACUGUUAGUACAACUCACAAAAAUGUGAUAUUACUUACUGAAACAAGUUAAUCAUUUAAGAAUAGUAUCUGAAAGAAAUUUUCCUCAUGCUUCUUAGUCUGAAUUGGCAAUAUAAAUAUAUAUAUUUGUUUAUUCUAGAGGAUCUCUA
ensembl:lncRNA